rnacentral:rRNA from 1 species
AUACGGAGGGUCCAAGCGUUAUCCGGAAUCAUUGGGUUUAAAGGGUCCGCAGGCGGUCAAUUAAGUCAGAGGUGAAAGCCCAUCGCUCAACGAUGGAACUGCCUUUGAUACUGGUUGACUUGAGUUAUACGGAAGUAGAUAGAAUAAGUAGUGUAGCGGUGAAAUGCAUAGAUAUUGCUUAGAAUACCGAUUGCGAAGGCAGUCUACUACGUAUAUACUGACGCUGAGGGACGAAAGCGUGGGGAGCGAACAGGAUUAGAUACCCUAGUAGUCC